CGGAAGUUCAAGAUGGAAGACUUAAAUUGUGGUUACAGUGUCUUCUGUUUAGUGCAAUUGCAACGUGUGUACACAAUUUCUAAUACGUAAUGGAUUUCUAAUUUUCAAGAGAUUCUCUGUUUCCCCACACAGUGUUACUGCGUUAAAUAUGUUCAGCAUGAUUGUGCAGAAACCUAUGGAUACCUGGGAUGUAAUAUGAGCCUAGGCUGUAGGCAGUGAAAGCAGCCAUGAUGUGCAAUGCACAGAAUGCAGGUGUGUUAUACAGGAAAUUUAUAUGCAGCAGUAUUUCUCAGAGACUGAAAAGAGUGUUAGUUUCAUCUUUGAGUGAACAUUAUUUAGUAGUUUUUUGUGUUGAUGGUUGAUUAUAAAUCUAUUAACUUGCCUAAAAGUUAUGACAUUUCUUAUGUGUUUUUAAUGCAUGUCUUUCUGAUGGUAUUAUAGUAUGGAUUUUGGAUUUGUCACUUGUGUUGGAAAUUAAAUGUAUAAUUGUUG